UACAUAGGGGGCAAGCGUUAUCCGGAAUUAUUGGGUGUAAAGGGUGCGUAGACGGAGAAACAAGUUGGUUGUGAAAUCCCUCGGCUCAACCGAGGAACUGCAACCAAAACUAUUUCCCUUGAGUGUCGGAGAGGAAAGUGGAAUUCCUAGUGUAGCGGUGAAAUGCGUAGAUAUUAGGAGGAACACCAGUGGCGAAGGCGACUUUCUGGACGAUAACUGACGUUGAGGCACGAAAGUGAGGGGAGCAAACAGG
rnacentral:rRNA from 1 species